rnacentral:rRNA from 1 species
AACGAACGCUGGCGGCAUGCCUAACACAUGCAAGUCGAUCGAGACCUUCGGGUCUAGUGGCGCACGGGUGCGUAACGCGUGGGAACCUGCCCUUAGGUUCGGAAUAACUCCCCGAAAGGGGUGCUAAUACCGGAUAAUGUCUUCGGACCAAAGAUUUAUCGCCUUUGGAUGGGCCCGCGUUGGAUUAGCUAGUUGGUAGGGUAAAAGCCUACCAAGGCGACGAUCCAUAGCUGGUCUGAGAGGAUGAUCAGCCACACUGGGACUGAGACACGGCCCAGACUCCUACGGGAGGCAGCAGUGGGGAAUAUUGGACAAUGGGCGAAAGCCUGAUCCAGCAAUGCCGCGUGAGUGAUGAAGGCCUUAGGGUUGUAAAGCUCUUUUACCCGGGAUGAUAAUGACAGUACCGGGAGAAUAAGCUCCGGCUAACUCC